rnacentral:lncRNA from 1 species
CCAGAGAGGAAAGCCACCCUCCACCCCUUUAAAUCUAACCAGCAAGGCAGAUGAUUGUCACGAAAACACAGCUACCUUACUGCAACAGGAAAGCUCCCCAUGGCUCUACGUGUUUAAGCGAUGCCCUCAACAUGCACGGGCAGCCCAUCAGUGAUCCACAUGGUGGAAGGAGGAAACUGACUUGCUGAAAGUGUCCCCUCACGUCUAUAUGUGACCUGUGGCACUCAAAUGCCCACCCCCACCCACCCCACAUGAACAUACUUGAAAGCUUGGAAGGCUUGGACUGAGUGGAAGGGACACCCGUUUUAAGGCUUCAUGGCACUCGAGUGGCUGCUUCAAGAAGAUGGUUUGAAUGGAGCCUUCGGGAAAUCGUAAUGACUGACACCAGCCUAAACGAGCUGAAGAACCACAAGAAACAGCCUCUCUCUAGGAGAGUACUGAAUGACAUCAGUGUGUGUGUGUGUGUGUGUUUACACAUAGUCUUCACUGCUUUGAAAGUUUUUCUCUGUGCCGGGGUGGGGUGGGAUAGGGAAGAUGGGGGGCCUGGGGGUAAGAGUUGGGGGGGGGGGAAUCCCUAGUGCUCUCUG